CUUUAAGCUGAACCUAUAUCUGUGCGAAAAUGCAUUCUCUUACCGGAGUUUGUUUUUUUGUCACAGGAGGGGUAAAAAACAGUUUCCUGUUCUCAGCUUUGUCCGUAUUGUACCAGCCAGCUGCUACACACAGACACAGCACAGCAGUAAUAUACAACACAAGGGAUCCUCUGCACACAUCAACAACUGACACCCACAAAGCAUUGUUACCCAUCGUGCCACAAAAGCAUCGGCCCUUGCAGAGCAAGGGGAACAACUACUUCAAGGUCUCAGAGCGAGUGACGUCACCGAUUGAAACGCUAUUAUCGCACACCACCGCUAACUAGCUAGCCAUUACACAUCAGUUACAUAUGCAUAUGUUGGUCACAGAUACCUUAACAAAAAAUGGGCCUCACAAUGGGCCUCAAGAUCUUGUCACUGUAUUUUUGUGCAUUUAAAUUGCCAUAGAUAAAAUGCAACUGUGUUCGUUGUCUGUAACUUAUGCUUGCCCAUAUCAUAAUCCCAAUGCCACCAUGGGGCCAAUGCCACCUCUGUCCGCAACAUUGACAUCAACAAACCGCUCUCCCACACGAUGCCAUACACAAGGUCUGUGGUUAUGAGGCCGGUUGGACGUACUGCCAAAUUCUCUAAAAUGACUUGGAGGCGGCUAAUGGUAGAGAAAUUAACAUUAAAUUCUCUGGCAACAGCUCUGGUGGACAUUCCUGCAGUCAGCAUUCCAAUUGUACUCUCCCUCAACUUGACAUCUGUGGCAUUGUGUUGUGUAACAAAACUGCACAUUUUAAAGUGGCCUUUUAUUGUCCCCAGCACAAGGUGCACCUGUGUAAUGAUCAUGCUGUUUAAUUAGCUUCUUGAUAUGCCACACCUGUCAGGUGUAUGGAUUAUCUUGGUAAACAUGGAUGUAAACAAAUUUGUGCACAACAUUUAAGAGAAAUAAGGUUUUUGUGCAUAUGGAACAUUUCUGGGAUCAUUUACUUUCAGCUCAUGAAACAUGGAAC
ensembl:lncRNA